GAUGAACGCUAGCGGCAGGCCUAAUACAUGCAAGUCGAACGGGAUCUGAGGGUAGCUUGCUACCCGAUUUGAGAGUGGCGCACGGGUGCGUAACGCGUGAGCAACCUACCCAUAUCAGGGGGAUAGCCCGAAGAAAUUCGGAUUAACACCGCAUAAUAAUACGCUAACACAUGUUAAUGUAUUUAAAUAUUUAUAGGAUAUGGAUGGGCUCGCGUGACAUUAGCUAGUUGGUAAGGCAACGGCUUACCAAGGCGACGAUGUCUAGGGGCUCUGAGAAGAGAAUCCCCCACACUGGUACUGAGACACGGACCAGACUCCUACGGGAGGCAGCAGUAAGGAAUAUUGGUCAAUGGGCGCAAGCCUGAUCCAGCAAUGCCGCGUGCAGGAUGAAGGCCUUCGGGUUGUAAACUGCUUUUGUACGGAACGAAAAGGCUCUCACUAAUACUGGGGGCUCAUGACGGUACCGUAAGAAUAAGUACCGGCUAACUACGUGCCAGCCGCCGCGGUAA
rnacentral:rRNA from 1 species